CGAUCCGAUGCCGUACAGGCGUAGCUAUAGCUACUUAUUCCGAUACUGUUGUUGCUGCUUCGUGCGUCGCCGAAGUCGCAGCUGUUUUCGGUUGAAUGGCGCAUUGAAAGCGUCGCCGCGAAUUGAAUGGAACUUAGCUGCUUUCAAUAGCUGUUGAAUGCCUCUGGCUUUUGGGCGCCUUGUUGCCGCUGGAAGCGCACGUAUUCCAAUGGCCAGCAACUUGAACUUGGCUUUUAAGCCGGCAAAAUUAGCUAAUUAUUGCUAAUUUUAUAGUUCGUUUAUAAAUGUAUAUAUGAAUCAGUAUCACUGUCUUAAACUAACAAAAAUGUAAAGUUUCAGUUCUGUUACUAACUCUUUAUUGGUUUCAAAAUAUUUUAUAUUCAAAUACAUUAAUAAAAAUGUAAAGUUUCAGUUCUGUUACUAACUGUUACUUGGCUUCAAAAUAUUUUAUAUUAAAAUAUAUUAACUAAAAUGUAAAGUUUCAGUUCUGUUACUAAGUGUUUAUUGGCUUCAAAAUAUUAUAUAUUCGACAAGUCAAAUCAUUUGUUUACUUCAACUUAAGUCCGCUAAUUUGAGCAACUGAUUUAAUCGGCGGACUUAAUGCUAUUCAGAGCUUAAAAACCACGAGCAACCGGUCGAGCAAUUAGUGUGAAUUUAAAUCACUUGUCAUACGGCCCAAAAAUAGUCAUGGAAAUGAUACGAUACACAAUGUAAGUCAAGAAUCUCGCCGAAAGCUUUCGAGACUUUCUCGGUACGAAAGUGAAAUCUGCAGAAGAACUCAGCUUUAUCAAAUUUAAGGCCGUCCGCUUGUUUAUUUAUAGGCCAAAGUUGAUAAAUCCCACUGAAGCUUCCAAUUCCGACAAUAUAGACGACCACGCGCGGUUCCAUUUGCAUGUGUUUGUAUGCCACACUCACUGUUUUUUUUUUGUAUUUUCUGUAUGGGCAGACAAAAGGCGAGUUUAUCAAACGGGCCAUGCGAACAGCUUCUGCUGUGCCCCAUCUCAAUUUUCACGAUUUCGCUUCGCAAUCGCAAACCCAAACCCAAACCGAAUCCCAAAACCCAUGCCACUGUCAAUGAAAGUCAGGCAAACACACUCCAAGGAGCUCAAAGUGAACUCGUGUAUAGAUUAGUUUUCGCCAAGAGCCGUUUGACAUUUGAGCGACUUUAAAGCUAAAUAUUAACGCUCUUUAUUCAGCAAUUUUCCUCACCCACAUUCAAUAAGACGCUGGCAAUAAUAAUAAUAAUGCUGAUAAACGGCCAUAUCCACAGUGAGACGCAAUAGGUGUGUGUUGCCAGUGUUUCAAGGUCUCUGCGGCUUAUCCAUCUGAAUAAUAUGUGGUAUGGGUGCAGUUGAUUCGAAGUUAUGUGGGUUAAGUACUAUCACGUUCUUUUGAACGUUUUGCCGAUAUCAGCAGUUACUUUCUGUACAUUACACUUUUAGGAAACUGUAAUACCACACAAGCCAUUAUUAAGUGAAUUCCAUUUCAUAAUAACAACUAAUACAUAAUUUAUUUCCACUCAAUACUCGUAGGUACAUAGACACACAUUCCAUAUUCAAGCCGGAACUUGUACAGCCCCUAAGCUCAUCCCUUGGCAACAGAAAAGUAUUUACAAUUUGUGAGCGGAAAGCCCUCAUGUACAGGGAUAGUUAUUCGCACCUCCUCCUCCAUGUGCCAUCCACACCAAAACUAUGACAAGUUACCACAAACAACACACAUGUGUGUGCCACCACAAACCGAGUAUAUGUCAUCGUGGGACCACCAAACUUGGAUUGCAUGUUCCUGGAUGGAUCACGUGGUUCUGGGUUGGACUUGAAACAAGUGAACAACUUUUCAUUCGCUUGUCAGAAAGUCAAAGUUAAUGGGCAGCCCAUCAAAGUGUUCAGUUGUCAGUUACCCAGAAACUAUGCCAAUUAGCCAAACGCUAUUAUCGAUGUGUUAACUGUAAUUAUUUGGUAUCGGCCAAUGCAAAAAUGCAAAUUAUUACUAGCAAUAUGCAUACAUUAAUUUAUUGUCAAGACUUUGUCGAGAUGUACUGCCCAGCGUGAGUAAAUAAAAAAUAAUUAUGUAAAUAACGAGUGCUUAUAUAAUAAGCUAAGUUUACUUCAGGUUUGAUUGUCAAGAAUAUGUCAAAUGGUUACAGGGUGUUCCAGAAACUAGCAACAAGAAAAUUCUUGUUCUUCAAGUUUAAGGUAAAGCACCUGUGUAAACAUAUAAUUUUCUGUAAUUUAUAAGUACAUAUAUUUUUCUUGUCUAUGUUUGAAAAUGUUUUGAUAUGAUCCCAAGUAUGUGAAUAGAUUCUACACCCUUUAUAUUUAUGAGUAGCCUUCUCUAUUGCAACCAAGUGUAACUGCGUUAUAAGCCAGCGAGUUCAGUGAUUUACCGUCUCAAGUUUUCCCUUUAAUUGUUAAUUAACAAGGCGGAACUUUUAAUUGAAGACCAACUGCGUAUGUAAUUCGCAUUACCCUAGGCUUCCACUCCGCCGAUAACGCGCAGCUAAUUUUAAUUUGAAUACCUCACUUAACGCGAAUGUUUAACUUAAUACUGCAAACAGCUGCGGAGGCUGCUGAACCGCGUACGAGUAUUUGCCAACGGAAAUCGAGUGCUAUAAAUAUAAUGCAAUGCAUGUCAAUAUUUAUUCCCCAUUGUUUAUUUAUAAUCUCCACAGUCUCUUUGUACUUUAGUUAAUUCACACGUGUCCAAGGUAUUACAUUAUCGAUUAUAAGCAAGCAAUAUCGAAUGGUAAUUCCCAGAAGCACUUCGCUUGAACAAAAGAUUGGCUUAGGCUGAAAGCGUCUGUAUGCCAACUAUUCUUGGAAUUAUUCACACAAAGUCUGAUCAACAAUACCUGAAUGGCAUUCAGUUAUUGUAAGCGUUUCAGGCAUUUGCUUAUAACCACAAUCUUAAUGGGAAGGCUGGAAAAAAUCCCUAUCAAAACAAAAACAUGAUUAAUUCGGAUUAGGAGAGUACAUUUCAAUUAGAGUUUCUGAGAAAAGCGCAUUUAUCACUCAACUGGAUUUCUUACGCACUGGAGUAUGAAAUAUACAAUCUGCUGUGUCUGCUCCAACUAAAAAACAAAUAAAUUGUAAUCAAUCUCAAUGGAAACCAUCUGUUGCGGUUCUCGGCGGCUUAAAUUCCAUAAAA